UGUGCGCGUAUCCAUAUGCACGUGUCUACAUGUGAGUGAGAGAGAAAUCAAGACAGAAUGAGAAACAGAAAAAGACACUUGGAAAGGCAGAAAGAGAUGUGCAGAGAAAGACAGAUAGUGCGGGAGUCAGGCGAGAGGUCGUUGGAAAGAGAGAGAGGAAAAAAAGAGGAAAAAACCCGCAGAAGACUGACCUCCAACUAAAUUUUUUUCAACAAAUACCACCCAUAGUAUGUCAGAGCCUGGAAAUUCAGUGAUCAUGAUGAUGCAUUCCACGAGCCUGCAAUCUCUCUGAGAGACAAAGGCUGCCAGCUGUAAACCCAGCUGUAACCGGCUGCAAAGUGGAAAGCUCACAAUAAACAAUUGCAUUGAAAGAGGAUAGCAGAUGUGAUUUCCCCGUGACUACAGUCCUUUCCUGGUGCUGAGGCUGCAGGGCCUGCAGUAAAUGGUUUCAGCUGCACUCUCCACAUGCCUUCCUUCCUCACCUCAUAGCCUGGCUCUCUGGCUCUCCACCCUCAUGGGUUAUGAAAUGGGACCCUCCUUCAGGCCCAGCAGACUUUCUUCAGGCCACUGCUCCUGGUGAGAGAGACUGAGAAACAAGCAACCAGAGAAACAACUCACAGGGGAAAGGAGCUAGAAGAGGAAACUCCGCAAGGGCAAGGAUUUGAUCUUGUACAGCCCAUCUUCCUGGUGCCUAGCAAAAUGACUGGUCCUUAUGAAGUGCUCAGUAAACAUUUGUUAAAUUGUUGAGUGUUUGAUCUAUGAGACCAGGUCAAAGAUUUAGGCCUAGGGGUGGGGGUCGGGGGGACAGAGGAAAUCUAAGGGGAUUAGUCAGAAACCUCAAGGGAAUCUUGGUAAAUCUCACAAUCAUUGACUCAACAGAGAAUCUGUGUAAACCAAGACCUAGUUCCCACUAAGGUUGUGACGUAUGGUAUGAGCUUAGCAACACUUGAAACUUCACAUGUCAAAUUAGAUGGUGGCCUGAGCUAAGGCAUUGUCACUGGGGAAAGAGAGAAGGGAUGGAAUAGAAAUUUAGGAGGCUGGAUGGAGAGAAUUUGGGACUGAAAGUAUGUAGCUGUCAAAGAAAAGUAACUCAAAGGUGAAUGUAAUAUAAAGACAAUAUCUACUUCACAAGGUCGCUGUAAGGACACAGAGUCCCUGGAAUAGUAUUGAGUGUCAUUGGGUAGGUUCUUAUAAACAGCUUUCUUCCUCCUCCUCAUCCCUCUCUAUUUGUAUUAAAGGCAGGACUAUCCCACCUGGAAACCUUGGAGUGCCCACCCCAAGAAGGCUCUGCCAAUGGUGUCUUUAUCUGAAUUUAACUAUUGAAGGCCAUGAACACACCCCUGGCUCUACUGGUCUCCACCGAACAGAUAAGAAUAAAAGUGUCUUCUCUCCAGAGCUGCAUGAGGAAAACCCUGAAAGCCAUUCUCUCACAGUCAGAAUGUUUUCUUUGUUCCUCUGAGACAGAACCAACAUUUCUGUGAGGGACAAAGAGGCAGUUUGACUGAUAAGCCGAGCAGACACUAUGGGCUGAGUGAUGGCUACACAGGAGCAGCUGGGCUCAGCCCCUGAGGCUGCUUUCAAUUCUUGGUCUGGUAUAUACAUCAUAACAGCAUGCGGGAGACCUUUUUAAAAACUGAACACGUGUAUUUCCAAAUGUCAGGUUCACAUUCAGCCCUAGACCUCCCCAAACACACUCAGACUGAGCUCUCCUGGGGUGUCUACAGGGCCUGGGGGAACUGGGAAGGCCCAUGCAUACAGCUUGCAAUGUCUCGGGUUCUUUCUCCCCAGAUAUUGUCAUGCCCUCGUUUAUUAAGGAAAAGUCACUAACGCAAAAUGUUUGGAAAAUGAAAGUACAAUUACCGUAACAGUUCACUCCACCAGUAAUUCUGAAACAGUAGCUCUUAGACCUUAUGCAAAACAUGCAAGACCAAGGGAUGUACUGAUCUAUUCUUGAGUCCGUAACAGAUCUACUAUACAGCUCCCACCCAAAUUCAGAAACCAGUGAAAUCUGUGGUUCUCAGUCACCUCCUCUCCCCUACACCUACUCCUCUGCACACCCACUUGCCCCUUCUAGGAUGUAACCCCUGGAAAACCACUAACAUUCUUAAUUGAAUGUGCUAUGGUUCUCAAAUUCAGUAAUACUCUCCUCAUUGCUGUAAUGAGGACCUACUUACAAAUACUAAUUUCAGAAAACCUAAAAGGAAGCUUCCAGGCCAAACACAAAGCUCAGACACAGUUCAACAAUACCAUUUUGACAAAGUAAAUAAUAAAUCAAUAAAUCAAACUUGGCCAUUUUCCUAGAGACUUAGAUGAAGGUGUAGAAAUCCUGUUCUUCCAACUGAGGCAUGUCCCAGUCUGAGAGGGACUACCUUAGACCAAGAGACUGGCCUGCAGCCCCAUUCAUGAGAAGACAAAUUAAGAAAUAGGUGUGAAUCCCAGUUCAGCCACUCGAUACACCAUGUUAGGCAGAAUACUUAACCUCUGUGAGCCUGUUCUCCACUCCAUGAAAUGGCUAUGAUCAUAUCCAGCUUUCACCGGUGCUCUGGGCUCACAGGAGCUGUAUGCAGAGUACCCAGCAUAACAAGUGGCUCGUAUCUGAGAGCUGGUUCAUCAGUCAGUGAUAAUUCUUUUAAACAGGAUUUAUUGUAGCGUGACUUUAUUAUCAGAAGCUGUACCCAGAUGAUGAUAGCACGUAAGAGCCUAGAGCCUGGGUCUCUCUUGCUGCCACCCAGACCCCAGCCCGUAGGCGAUGCUCCAUUACCUACUGUUUACUGACCUCCCUGACCAGCACUGGGAAACUGCCCUUCACUCCUCCACACUCAAUUGGAUUUUGUUAAAAGAAAUUUCUUUCCCACAGGGUAUGUUAAUCGAAAUGAUAUCAAAUCAAGCAAGGACCCCAGACAUCCUUCCCUUUCUGUGCCAUGGACUCAUUGGCAGUUUGACAAAAAUGUCCGUAAAUGCAUACAUAAAAGUCAGGACCACAAAAGAAUUCAAUUUUAUUGAAAUACAAUUCUAACUUCCCGUUCAGAUCUAUGGAUUUCAUAAUGUAAAUACCCGAUAGUCAAACCCCUAAUGAAAGGCUUAGAAAACUCUCUAAAGUCAUUCAACUAAGAAACGAAAGAGCCAAGGCAAGGACCCCAUUUCCCUACUCCUGGAUCUGAGCUCUGUCCACCCAUCUAUUUAUUAUUGCAGAAAAUUAAGAAAAACAAAACAGGAAUCUUACUGCUUCUACAUUGAAAAAUCCUGAAUUUUGACCACAUUAGAAGGCACGGAGGUGGCCCUGCUGGCCCGUAUAUAUUCAUGAGAACUGGCCUCAGUUUGUACUGGAUUGCGAAACAGACAAAGAUCGUUUCCCAGCAAACACCUGGAAAAGCUUCAGGCCACAAUAACUUGACUGAGGAUUCAUAUAGUUCACUGGAAACUGGUAGCAGAUGUCCCAGCUCCUGGAAUUUGUUGGAUGACAGUGUUGGAUUAUGGACUGAAUGGAUGGAUUCCAUUCCUCUGCUUUGUCAAAGAGUCGAGAACACAAUUUGCUGAGGCUAGUACAGAAAACCCAGCCCUCCUGCUUCCCUCAACAUUUCUCAGGAAUUAAUAAGCAGUUGGUAUUAUAUUUCUCUGCUGAGAAGUUUGGAAAGGAUUAGACCCCUGACCA